rnacentral:rRNA from 1 species
AGGAUGAACGCUGGCGGUAUGCUUAACACAUGCAAGUCGAACGAAAUAUCUUCGGAUAUUUAGUGGCGGACGGGUGAGUAACGCGUGAGAAUCUACCUUCAGGUUGGGGAUAACAGAUGGAAACGACUGCUAAUACCCAAUAUACCGAGAGGAGAAAGGCUAGCUGCCUGAAGAUGAGCUCGCGUCCGAUUAGCUAGUUGGUGAGGUAAGGGCUUACCAAGGCAAUGAUCGGUAGCUGGUCUGAGAGGAUGAUCAGCCACACUGGGACUGAGACACGGCCCAGACUCCUACGGGAGGCAGCAGUGGGGAAUUUUCCGCAAUGGGCGAAAGCCUGACGGAGCAAUACCGCGUGAGGGAGGAAGGCUUUUGGGUUGUAAACCUCUUUUGUUCGGGAAGAAGAACUGACGGUACCGAACGAAUAAGCAUCGGCUAACUCCGUGCCAGCAGCCGCGGUAAUACGGAGGAUGCAAGCGUUAUCCGGAAUUAUUGGGCGUAAAGCGUCCGCAGGUGGUUAGACAAGUCUGCUGUUAAAGCGUGGAGCUUAACUCCAUAACGGCGGUGGAAACUGUCUGACUAGAGUUCGGUAGGGGUCACGGGAAUUCCCAGUGUAGCGGUGAAAUGCGUAGAUAUUGGGAAGAACACCAGCGGCGAAAGCGCGUGACUGGGCCGAGACUGACACUCAUGGACGAAAGCUAGGGGAGCGAAAGGGAUUAGAUACCCCUGUAGUCCUAGCUGUAAACGAUGGGAACUAGGUGUUGACCGUAUCGACCCGGUCAGUGCCGUAGCUAACGCGUUAAGUUCCCCGCCUGGGGAGUACGCACGCAAGUGUGAAACU